GAUCUUGUGGUGGCAUAUGCCGGUCUCUAAAGUUAAUCCACAGAGGUCUAGGCAUUUCUGCUGGUACCAACCCUGACAUAGCGAAGGACUUUGAGUGCAGGUUUGGCUUCUACCUGCAGAACCGUGGCCAUUCUAGAACUCACCCACGCCCGUGGGCAUCUGCAGCUCAGCUCUGAUGAUUCUAGGUCACCAGGAGGGCAUGUCCUGUGGCCCUGUUAAGUUGUGCCGACCAGGGCAACUGGGAAUUGGGUGAUGAGGAACCCAGAUUUGGUUCCAUAGAGGAAGCCUGGUAAUGGACUAUCCCAACCAAGGGGUAGCAGACUUGUUACUCGAAACCCAAGGGUGGAGAGGCAGUGAUGAAAAACAGAACUGGUCUCUGAAGGUCUGGUAAUUGGAAUGAGUCCACUUAAAAUUCUUUAAGGUGGAUCCAUUGCAUGGCAAGUCUAGUACCUGCAGCCGAGGUGGUGGUGGUUUAGUUACUAACUCGUAUCCAACUCUUGUGACUCCAUGGACUGUACCAGGCUCCUCUGUCUCUGGAAUUCUCCAGGCAAGAAUACUGGAGUGGAUUGCCAUUUCCUUCUCUAGGGGAUCUUCCCUGAGAAGGAAAUGCAUUGCAGGCAGAUUGUUUACUGACUGAGCUAUGAGGGAAGCAGCCAAGGUAAUCUCCAGCUUCAAUGGUAGGGUGUUGAGUUCGGCGCAGUUAAAAUACCGUGUGAUCUGCCGCCUGGGUUUACAGAUGGGGAGCCUCCGCCCCUAUCCCCACGCCCUGCUUCUCGACCUCCUGGCUCCUAGCCCGGUUUCCCUGGGCUGACGUGUGGGAGCUGCCUGAACACUGCCGCUGGAAAUCAUGGCAUGGGACCGUGGUUCUGUUUUGUGUUGGAACUUUGCAGAGGCCGAUUAGACGCAAUGGCUGGGACGUUCCUACUGCACCGCUAGAGCUCAAAGUCUUAGAUUGAUGCAAAACGGACCAGAGUGAAAGCUGUUGCCAUGGAUGUUUUUAUUAAUUAAGGAUGAAGGUGUAAAAAGGAGGUUCAAAGAGAUUCUGAUCCCAUAUUGUCUCUCCAUAAACGAUGCCGACUGCCAGCGUUAUUUCCGGUAAUGUGCGGGUAGCUUACCGGAAAGCAAAGUCCUUCCCAUGAUGGUAGCUGCAGUGUCUGGUUCUAGAACUGAAAUUUAAAGGCACAGUGGUGCAAUCUGUGCUUAAUUUGAUACAAUUCAGAUAACUCUCGACUCCAUGGGAACCAGGAUUGACACUUUUGAUAGCUUUUUCCUGGGUGGUGGUGAGUGGCUUUUCUGUCUUCCUGGAGUGAUUUGUCUGGUUUGUAGAUAACAGGGAGACUAGUGUGCUAACCAUAGGUUACCCCAAGCGCUUGAUAGCCUUAACUUCAACAAAUAUUGUUUAGUUGCCCAAGAUUGAGCAGUCACAAGUCUGUGAUGCCCUUAAGUGGCCAGAACCGCACCACACUGCUCAGCAUGUGUGCUUCCAGUCGGACGGGUGCUGGAGAUUUCAUUAUUAAAUCCGUUAGAGGUAGGCUCUGGGUUGCAGUUGUUAACUCAUUAAUGAGGAAUUCCCUGUAAGAGAGUAGAUCAGAAGUUUACAUCAAGUCCCUGCCCCUUGUUCACACUGCCCAUUGCCCUUCACAUUCCCACCUUGGGGUUGGUAUUUGGCCUUGGUGGUUCGCUGAGAAGCCGUUCUAAAUGAAAGUCACUACCAGGUUUUGGUAGGUGGUCCUGCGGAAGGACCACAU
rnacentral:rRNA from 1 species